AGAAUCAACAUGCAACAGUGGAUGAAGCCAUUCUUUCUCAUCUGUUUCUUUUCUUCUAUAUAUUCAGCUAUUUUGCCAAAAGAUUUGACAGAUUCGUGCACAAACGACGGUAAAAUAUGGACUGUGGAUGAUUGUAAGGAAUGUCGAUGCUGGAGAGGAAAGAUUUGGUGUAACGUUAUCACUUGUACAUGGUUUGAUGACGUAGGCUGCAGUAAUUAUCGUAAAGUUCCUGGAACCUGUUGCAACUAUGUCUGUUUAGAUAAUACGUCAGAUGCUACAGGAGAAGACGUAGUUUUUUCGAAUGAUCGAAAAUUGAAUGUAUAAUGAUUUAAUUGAUGCUCGUAGC